GAUGAACGCUGGCGGCGUGCCUAAUACAUGCAAGUCGAGCGAACAGACGAGGAGCUUGCUCCUUUGACGUUAGCGGCGGACGGGUGAGUAACACGUGGGUAACCUACCUAUAAGACUGGGAUCACUUCGGGAAACCGGAGCUAAUACCGGAUAAUAUUUCGCACCGCAUUGUUCGAUAGUGAAAGAUGGCUCUGCUAUCACUUAUAGAUGGACCUGCGCCGUAUUAGCUAGUUGGUAAGGUAACGGCUUACCAAGGCAACGAUACGUAGCCGACCUGAGAGGGUGAUCGGCCACACUGGAACUGAGACACGGUCCAGACUCCUACGGGAGGCAGCAGUAGGGAAUCUUACGCAAUGGGCGAAAGCCUGACGGAGCAACGCCGCGUGAGUGAUGAAGGUCUUCGGAGCGUAAAACUCUGUUAUUAGGGAAGAACAAACGUGUAAGUAACUGUGCACGGCGUGACGGUACCUAAUCAGAAAGCCACGGCUAACUACGUG
rnacentral:rRNA from 1 species